rnacentral:rRNA from 1 species
CACGGAGUUAGCCGAUGCUUAUUCAUACGGUACAUGCAGGAAGUCACACGUGACUCUUGUUAUUCCCGUAUAAAAGAAGUUUACAAUCCAUAAGACAGUCAUCCUUCACGCGACUUGGCUGGUUCAGGCUCUCGCCCAUUGACCAAUAUUCCUCACUGCUGCCUCCCGUAGGAGUCUGGUCCGUGUCUCAGUACCAGUGUGGGGGUUCAACCUCUCAGUUCCCCUACCCAUCGUCGCCUUGGUGAGCCGUUACCUCACCAACUAGCUAAUGGGACGCAUGCCUAUCUCACAGCGAAUUUCAUUUCCUCUACAUUGGAUGCCCAACAUAGAGUGUACGCGGUAUUAGUCCGUCUUUCGACGGGUUAUCCCCCUCUGUGAGGCAAGUUGCAUACGCGUUACGCACCCGUGCGCCGGUCGCCAUCAGUCUUAGCAAGCUAAGCCAUGCUGCCCCUGACCUUGCAUGUGUUAAGCCUAUCGCUAGCGUUU